CCCUACUGGCAACAAGAAAGAUCAUUUCCACUGGGUGCCAAAAGUCUGUGAAUUUUCGGUGUGCACAGGUCUUGCAUGUGGAGACUGGCACGAUACAGCUAAUAAUAGAGGGCCAGUCUCCAAUAAUUGAAGCUACCUACCGCGAUCUGUGGCGAUGAAGUUUUUGCCUCUGCAAGCCUCUUCUUAUUGAGAUCUCUUUCCCCUCUGUGCUGGAGAAAGGGUAAGUCCUUCGCUGAGAUGUGGUCGAGAUGUUGGGAGCCUGGUUGAGAAGGCCUGCGAUUAUGCAGUCCUAUGGGGAACAGCAACGAGUUGGAUCUGAUCUACGCCCGCUAAAGACUUCUUUUUUGUCGAGACGAAGCUCAUCAUCAGCACAGCCGGAAAUAUGUUGAUCAAAGAUGAGAAGAUGAAAGGGAGCCUGGAGUAAUUACUGAUGCAAUUCAAGGACGUCGCUUAUGAUGCUUGCGAUUUGCUGGACGAGUUCCGCUACCAAAUUCAUUCUGCUGCUGAGCGACGAAGAGAUGAGAUCAAGAUGUUUUAAGAUUUGGAUCUGUGUAUCGAGAAUCUGCAAACUUAGAGAAGUGCGACA